GCUGGGUGUGAUGGCACACACCUGUAAUCCCAGCUACUUGGGAGGCUGAGGCAGGAGAAUUGCUUGAGCCCAGGAGACCGAGGCUGCAGUGAGCCGAGAUUGUGCCACUGCACUCCAGCCUGGCCCACAGAGCAAGACUCUGUCUCAA
rnacentral:SRP_RNA from 1 species